GUGCUCAUUUCAGCAGCACAUAUACUAAGAUUGGAACGAUACAAAGAUUAGCAGCACCCCUGAGCAAGGAUGACAUGUAAAUUCAUGAAGCAAUAGAACAGAAG
ensembl:snRNA U6 U6 spliceosomal RNA